UGGGGAAUUUUGGACAAUGGGCGCAAGCCUGAUCCAGCCAUGCCGCGUGCGGGAAGAAGGCCUUCGGGUUGUAAACCGCUUUUGUCAGGGAAGAAAUCUUCUGAGUUAAUACCCCGGGAGGAUGACGGUACCUGAAGAAUAAGCACCGGCUAACUACGUGCCAGCAGCCGCGGUAAUACGUAGGGUGCAAGCGUUAAUCGGAAUUACUGGGCGUAAAGCGUGCGCAGGCGGUUUUGUAAGACAGAGGUGAAAUCCCCGGGCUCAACCUGGGAACUGCCUUUGUGACUGCAAGGCUUGAGUGCGGCAGAGGGGGGAUGGAAUUCCGCGUGUAGCAGUGAAAUGCGUAGAUAUGCGGAGGAACACCGAUGGCGAAGGCAAUCCCCUGGGCCUGCACUGACGCUCAUGCACGAAAGCGUGGGGAGCAAACAGGAUUAGAUACCCUGGUAGUCCACGCCCUAAACGAUGUCAACUGGUUGUUGGGAAGGUUCCUUCUCAGUAACGUAGCUAACGCGUGAAGUUGACCNCCUGGGGAGUACGCCGCAAGGUUGAAACUUAAAUGAAUUGACGGGUCAUAGCUGUUUCCU
rnacentral:rRNA from 1 species